UCUCACAGUCAUUUUGCUCCCUCCCACAAGUGCACAGAUUAUCUCUGCCACAGAAUGGGGGAAGGGUGGUGUAGGCAAUGAAGUACUGUGUUGUCUACCCUUUUUAGUGCCUCUUUCCUUGAAUGAUGUUAAAACCAGGCCCGGGUCCUUUUUGUGCUGAUUGUGCUGAGCCAGCUCACCAUUCUCAUUAUUUUUAGAUAUCGAGGAUACCCAGAGCUUAAAGAACCUUCAGGGUUUAUAAAUCUGUCCUCAUUUUCUCUUCAUGUCUUGAGCAAAAUAAACAUCUUCUACUAUUCUGUGUUGUUGUUGACCCUGUAUACAGUGCUGGGUCCAUGGUUUUUUGGUGAAAUCAUUGAUGGCAAAUUGGGUUGCUGCUUUUCCUUUGGGAUAUUUGUUAAUGGACAUUUCCUACAAGGCAGCAUAACAUUUAUAAUUGGAAUUCUCCAGCUGGCGUUUUUUAACAUCCCCUUGAUGGCUUACAUGUGUUGGAGCUUGCUGCAGCGGUGCUUUGGUCACAACUUCAGGUCUCAUCUCCAUCAAAGAAAAUACUUGAAAAUUAUGCCUGUUCACCUA
rnacentral:sRNA from 1 species